GAUGAACGCUGGCGGCGUGCCUAAUACAUGCAAGUCGAACGCUUCACUUCGGUGAAGAGUGGCGAACGGGUGAGUAAUACAUAAGUAACCUGGCAUCUACAGGGGGAUAACUGAAGGAAACGUCAGCUAAGACCGCAUAGGUGUAGAGAUCGCAUGAACUCUAUAUGAAAAGUGCUACGGGACUGGUAGAUGAUGGACUUAUGGCGCAUUAGCUUGUUGGUAGGGUAACGGCCUACCAAGGCGACGAUGCGUAGCCGACCUGAGAGGGUGACCGGCCACACUGGGACUGAGACACGGCCCAGACUCCUACGGGAGGCAGCAGUAGGGAAUUUUCGGCAAUGGGGGAACCCCUGACCGAGCAACGCCGCGUGAAGGAAGAAGUAAUUCGUUAUGUAAACUUCUGUCAUAGAGGAAGAACGGUGGAUAUAGGGAAUGAUAUCCAAGUGACGGUACUCUAUAAGAAGGCCACGGCUAACUACG
rnacentral:rRNA from 1 species